rnacentral:rRNA from 1 species
UACGUAGGGUGCAAGCGUUAAUCGGAAUUACUGGGCGUAAAGCGUGCGCAGGCGGUUAUGUAAGACAGGUGUGAAAUCCCAGGGCUUAACCUUGGAACUGCAUUUGUGACUGCAUAGCUAGAGUACGGUAGAGGGGGAUGGAAUUCCGCGUGUAGCAGUGAAAUGCGUAGAUAUCUGGAGGAACACCGGUGGCGAAGGCGGCAUCCUGGACCGACACUGACACUGAGGAGCGAAAGCCAGGGGAGCAAACGGG